UCCUACGGGGUGCAGCCGUAGGGAAUCUUCCGCAAUGGACGAAAGUCUGACGGAGCAACGCCGCGUGAGUGAUGAAGGCUUUCGGGUCGUAAAACUCUGUUGUUAGGGAAGAACAAGUGCUAGUUGAAUAAGCUGGCACCUUGACGGUACCUAACCAGAAAGCCACGGCUAACUACGUGCCAGCAGCCGCGGUAAUACGUAGGUGGCAAGCGUUAUCCGGAAUUAUUGGGCGUAAAGCGCGCGCAGGUGGUUUCUUAAGUCUGAUGUGAAAGCCCACGGCUCAACCGUGGAGGGUCAUUGGAAACUGGGAGACUUGAGUGCAGAAGAGGAAAGUGGAAUUCCAUGUGUAGCGGUGAAAUGCGUAGAGAUAUGGAGGAACACCAGUGGCGAAGGCGACUUUCUGGUCUGUAACUGACACUGAGGCGCGAAAGCGUGGGGAGCAAACAGGAUUAGAUACCCUGGUAGUCCACGCCGUAAACGAUGAGUGCUAAGUGUUAGAGGGUUUCCGCCCCUUUAGUGCUGAAAGUUAACGCAAUUAAGCCACCUCCGCCGGGGGGAGUACCGGGCCGCAAGGGCUGAAACUCAAA
rnacentral:rRNA from 1 species